rnacentral:tRNA from 1 species
UCCGGAGUAGCUCAGCGGUAGAGCGGUCGGCUGUUAACCGAUUGGUCGCUGGUUCGAUCCCAGCCUCCGGAG